CGUGUAGGUGGUCAGGUAAGUCAGAUGUGAAAGCCUUCUGCUUAACGGAAGAAGUGCAUUUGAAACUGCUUGGCUAGAGUACGGGAGAGGAGAGUGGAAUUCCCGGUGUAGAGGUGAAAUUCGUAGAUAUCGGGAGGAACACCAGUGGCGAAGGCGGCUCUCUGGUCCGAUACUGACGCUGAGACGCGAAAGCGUGGGGAGCAAACAGGAUUAGAUACCCUGGUAGUCCACGCCGUAAACGAUGGGCACUAGGUGUAGGAGGUAUUGACCCCUUCUGUGCCGAAGCUAACGCAUUAAGUGCCCCGCCUGGGGAGUACGGCCGCAAGGCUAAA
rnacentral:rRNA from 1 species